rnacentral:rRNA from 1 species
GACGAACGCUGGCGGCGUGCUUAACACAUGCAAGUCGAACGGAAAGGCCCUGCUUUUGUGGGGUGCUCGAGUGGCGAACGGGUGAGUAACACGUGAGUAACCUGCCCUUGACUUUGGGAUAACUUCAGGAAACUGGGGCUAAUACCGGAUAGGAGCUCCUGCUGCAUGGUGGGGGUUGGAAAGUUUCGGCGGUUGGGGAUGGACUCGCGGCUUAUCAGCUUGUUGGUGGGGUAGUGGCUUACCAAGGCUUUGACGGGUAGCCGGCCGAAGAGGGUGACCGGCCACAUUGGGACUGCGAUACGGCCCAGACUCCUACGGGAGGCAGCAGUGGGGAAUAUUGCACAAUGGGCGGAAGCCUGAUGCAGCAACGCCGCGUGCGGGAUGACGGCCUUCGGGUUGUAAACCGCUUUCGCCUGUGACGAAGCGUGAGUGACGGUAAUGGGUAAAGAAGCACCGGCUAACUACGUG